rnacentral:rRNA from 1 species
UACGGAGGGUGCAAGCGUUAAUCGGAAUUACUGGGCGUAAAGCGCACGCAGGCGGUCUGUUAAGUCAGAUGUGAAAUCCCCGGGCUUAACCUGGGAACUGCAUUUGAAACUGGCAGGCUUGAGUCUUGUAGAGGGGGGUAGAAUUCCAGGUGUAGCGGUGAAAUGCGUAGAGAUCUGGAGGAAUACCGGUGACGAAGGCGGCCCCCUGGACAAAGACUGACGCUCAGGUGCGAAAGCGUGGGGAGCAAACAGG